CGAAGUAUCCACAGCGUUUGUUUUCCAAAUCCAAAUACUAAAAGGGGAACCAGGCGUUCUAAAGCUCUUCUAUUGCAGAAGAUUCUCUUCUAUUCUAUCUGGGUCCAGCGUCUGCCUUGCGAGGCUUACUGACUUCAAGUUCAAAUCGAAAACGGUGAUGAUCUGGGUCUGUUAAUCUUGCUGUUCCUGCUUCUCGUUGACGGUGUCCGUUUCCAUGAGGAGUAAUGUAGUCUUGCCUUGUUGAUUUAAAUAUUUGUAUGAUUUUUUUUUUUUAAAUUCCAUGUUGGAGUUUUUAUUUAUUUUUUUAUAAACACAACCUAAUUCCUACAGCAGUUAUUUUGUGCAGUAGUAACAGUGUCAUUGGUAGCUUUUGGAAAUGCUACAUUUACUUAAUGUGUUUCUUUCAAUAAAUGUGUCUUUUUUAUUGUA